UUUUUUUAAUUUUUUAUUCAUACAAACAUUACUAAGGUCGUUCAAAGUUGAAUUGCUGUUUAACGGAUGGCCCAUCUUUUCAACACACCACGCAAAUAUAUGCGGCACUUUGUUCAUAAUGCACUGUCCACUCAACCUUGAUGCUUUCUCAAGUUGAUGCGCAAGAGUCCAAACAGCCUCAGAUCACAUGCUCGGAUCAUGUUCGAGCCUCGGAUUGGACAGUGAAAGAAACACACACGUAUGGGGGGUGAUAAGGGCCAUAAUUAAGCCUCGUGAAGCUACUGAUACGUCUCACAGUCACCUAACGUAUUUUUAGCGCCAUGAAUUAACAUGGACUGUCAAUGGAGACAAGUUUCUUUCUAAGGCGUCUAGACGUGGCACGUGACGUGUUCACGUAGUGAAGUUUAUUAUGAACAAUCUUACAAUUAACUCCUUAACGUCUACAUGUGUUAUGCGUCACGUGUUAGUUUGUGUCUGUUUAGUUUAUUAUUAAAGAUCUCACCAUGAACACCAUACAAACGUCUACAUGUAAUCAAUUUCAUUUGUUGAAUUAGCUAAAAUAGGCCUAUCACCUCAAUACAAAAAUGAUUAAGCUAGUUGAUAUCUCAGCCAGCCACAAUUACUCUGUAGACAUGCUUAUUCUCACAUCAAUACAGACACAAGGGCUUCUUUGUUGGAGGUAUCCCUAUUCAGAAAUAAGAGGUCAUCUAGGUCUCUAGUGGCGCAUUCAAAACAACUUAGAAAGUCGGUAAUCCCUAUAUGUUACCAAUUGGGCUAAAUGUAUUCCUAUUAAUAAGCUUUUGUUUUCCUAUUCAUUUGCAUAGGCUAACCAUUGCAAAUGUUAUUUACCAUUUUUUUUAUUAAUAAACAGGUAUCAGGGUAAAAAAAUUAUAAUUUCAAUGCCCCUCUCCCCCCACGGUUACUUACCUUACAGAUAAAAGUCAGCUAAUUUUCACUCCAUAUGUAAAUACAUUUGAUUCAUACACUGGCUUGUCUGGCUGGCAUGUUUUCAUUUUGAACAGGCCUUUCCUUAUCUACACUGAAAUAAUAUUUCAGUAGUAGUCCUUUAUUAUGAUUUUUUAACACUCAUAGCUCAUUAGUACACCCUUGUGGUUGAAUAUAUAUCUAUUGCAUUUGAUACAACAAUUAAUAAUGUUUAACUAACAAAUACCAUCAAGGGAUACGUUACAAUUUACAAUACUGAACACCUUAUAAAACAGCUGUGAAAACCAAUCUGGCAAUAUUUUAGAUUUAAUACAUAAACGUUGAUAUUUUUGGGGGUACAAGUGUGUCAAUUUACUUUCUGAUUUUUUGUACACUCACAUGGCAAUCAGACUAAAAUACUGAAUUCUGUAGUGUAGAACAGAGAGGAGGCGGGUGCUGUGUGGAUGAGAGGUUCUGCCUGUCACUUGUUUUCAACAGGUAGUCUUGGAAGGUGGACCUGAAGAGGGAAACUGCAAAGUCCAGGCGCUGCUGCCCUCUUUGUUCUGAGUAUUUUCAGGGCUAGUGUUUUUAGCUAAUCUGUGCAGCUCACAUUAUGUACCCAGUAUGAUAGUUUUCUUGCUCUUUCUUAGCUUGUCAGAUGUUUUAUGUCAGUGGGGUUGAUAAGGGAGGUAAGGUAUGUUCCCUGGAAAAGAUGGAGAGAUGAAUGGUGAGAGAAACUCCAGGCUGGCGUUUUGACCACUGAAAUCAUGCACCUUAACACGACCUACCUGGAAGCGGCGGUUAUUUAACGUGACCCAGUGGGUUAGCCAUGAGAUUGACUAUUUGGAGAAACCCAUGGGCCAGUGUUGGUACUGCUGACAGCAUCACGAGGCGGCAAAUUAAAAUAGUUAUCAUCUGAGAUUUUUAUUCACCUUAACAGAUGGUGACCCCAGCUAGGAGCGAAAGAGCACCAAGCUUUCCCAGGUCUUGCCUUCCUUUCGUCCUUCUUCCAAGCCAAGUCAUUCGCCCGGAUGUCGAAGCACUUGGUCCACUUGAUUCUCCUCCGGUGAAUUGAUUCUCCUCCUUCUGUUUCUCCUGCGCCUUGUCCGUGUUCAGUCUCACCUUGAUUGAUAAUAUAAAUAACUGGUCAAAAACCUUCACAUCCUUCUCAGUCCGUGCCUGAAGGUGGUCCUUGAAGGCAUUCUGAUCUGGUUCGACAACUUCCACCACAUCAGGUGGAUUAUCAGUGAUCUCAAAGUACGUUAUACAAAAAUAGCAAUAGAAAAACACUAAGUCAAUCACAAAUUGUAUAUGCUACAGUAUAGGCAAUCAUUUUAUAUACAAUUGCAUUGUUUACCUCCGUAAACAGCUGCAGGGCCCAUUAGUACAGCAGGCGAUAGGGUGAGUACUCUAGAGGCCUGGACGCUGCUGUUGUAGGCAAAGAUCAUUAACUUCAGAUUGUCCUCCCACCAUUCCUGGUACCCGUCAAGGGACUUGCCCAUGGCAGUCACCUUGGUCCGAUCAUCCAAACUUGGAAUCACCAUACAUUUACACAUUCACAUUGUAUAUUUAGCCCAAACAACUACCUCUUCCCCUACUGUAUUUAUUUAUUCUGCUCCUUUGCAGCCCAUUAUUUCUAUUUCUACUUUGCACUUUCUUCCACUGCAAAUCUACCAUUCCAGUGUUUUACUUGCUAUAUUGUAUGUACUUCGCCACCAUGGCCUUUUUUUGCCUUUACCUCCCUUAUCUCACCUCAUUUGCUCACAUUGUAUAGAGUUAUUUUUCUACUGUAUUAUUGACUGUAUGUUUGUUUUACUCCAUGUGUAACUCUGUGUUGUUAUGUCGAACUGCUUUUCUUUAUCUUGGCCAGGUCGCAAUUGUAAAUGAGAACUUCUUCUCAACUUGCCUACCUGGUUAAAUAAAGGUGAAAUAAAUAAAAAUAAAGUAUAUAAC
rnacentral:lncRNA from 1 species